rnacentral:rRNA from 1 species
UAAAACUGAAACAUGAUGACGCCGAUUCCUACGGGGAUCUAAGUCUUGUGAAUCCAUGCUUCCAAGAAAAACUUCUAAAGAUAUUGUAUAGGAACCUGUACCGCAAACCACCACAGGUGGUCAAGGAGAGAAUCCUAAGGUGAGCGAGAGAACUAUGGUUAAGGAACUCGGCAAAAUGACCCCGUAACUUCGGGAUAAGGGGAGGUCACUUCGGUGACCCGCAGAGAAUUGUCCCAGGCAACUGUUUACCAAAAACACAGGUCUCUGCUAAAGCGUAAGCUGAUGUAUAGGGGCUGACGCCUGCCCAGUGCUGGAAGGUUAAGAUGAUUUGUUAGUCGGACGAAAGUCGAUAACGGCGAAGCAUUGACUUGAAGCCCCAGUGAACGGCGGCCGUAACGAUAACGGUCCUAAGGUAGCGAAAUUCCUUGUCAGGUAAGUUCUGACCCGCACGAAAGGCGUAAUGAUCUGGGAGCUGUCUCAACCAUAGACUCGGUGAAAUCUUAAUACCUGUGAAAAUGCAGGUUACCCGCAGCAGGACGGAAAGACCCCAUGGAGCUUUACUGUAGGUUGAUAUUGGAAUCAGAUGUUAGUUGUAGAGGAUAGGUGGUAGACUAUGAUGUAUAGACGCUAGUUUAUACGGAGUCGCCCUUGGAAUACCACCCUUCUGAUAUUUGAUUUCUAACUCGCACCCAUUAUCUGGGUGGAGGACAGUGUCUGCUGGGCAGUUUGACUGGGGCGGUCGCCUCCUAAAAAGUAACGGAGGCGCCCAAAGGUUCCCUCAGAAUGGUUGGAAAUCAUUCAAAGAGUGUAAUGGUAUAAGGGAGCUUGACUGUGAGACUUACAAGUCGAGCAGGUACGAAAGUAGGGCAUAGUGAUCAGGCGGUAGAGUAUGGAAUUGCCGUCGCUUAACGGAUAAAAGUUACCCUGGGGAUAACAGGCUGAUACCACCCAAUAGUUCACAUAGACGGUGGUGAUUGGCACCUCGAUGUCGGCUCGUCACAUCCUGGAGGUGGAUUCGCUUCCAAGGGUUAGGCUGUUCGCCUAUUAAAGUGGCACGCGAGCUGGGUUCAGAACGUCGUGAGACAGUUCGGUCCCUAUCCGCUGUGGGCGUAGGAAAAUUGAGGAGAGCUGUUCCUAGUACGAGAGGACCGGAAUGGACUGACCAAUGGUGUAUCCGUUGUAACGCCAGUUGCAGUGCAGAGUAGCUAUGUCGGGAAGGGAUAACCGCUGGAAGCAUCUAAGCGGGAAGCCCACUUCAAGAUGAGUUUUCCCAUAUGUAUAUAGUAAGAACCGUUGUAGACUACAACGUUGAUAGGCUAAAGGUGGAAGCGUAGUGAUACGUUGAGCUGACUAGUACUAAUAGUUCGAGGAUUUAACC